CGGAAGAGUGAUGUCCGACGCGUUGAACUUUUCCGCAUCCGGAACGUCCGGAACAGACGUGGUUUGGGGUUGGUUUGGGGCCGUGUCGGAGGCAAACAUUGUGAACAUUGUGAAAAAUUGGAACUCGAUCAUCAUGAACAUGCCAGGUGACAGUGCACUGGUUUUAUUUGUAAAGGAAAACCCGUGCUUGUGGCAGCCCAAACACAAGGACUAUUUCAAUAAAACUAAAGCCAGAGCAUUAUGGGAGCGGUGCGCAGCUACUACUGGCCGUGAAGGAAAUGAGGCGAAGAAGAGAUGGCGCAACUUACGGGACUACUAUACAAAGAGACGAAAACAGCAACCGAGCGGAUCCGCGGGAGCGGUACCGCAGGACAUGCCCUCUUGGAUGAGAGAGAUGGGGUUCCUGGACGACGCCGGUAACCCCAAACCUCAUUCGACUGGGAAGAUCAGUUGGAGAUGAGCGAGACGCAGUCAUUGUUCGGCGACGAUCAGGCUCAGUCCGACGACAGGUCAGAUUGGGGUGUACUUUGCAGUGAUGUCUGGUGGCACGGCGCCGCCGUUGCCGCCGGCCUCGCGGCGCAGGUCGACGCCGGUCGGCAGCGCGUCCGGGUCCGCCACUGCCACCCCGUCAGCCGCCCAGCCAGCCGCCCAGCCAGCCGCCCAGCCAGCCACCACUCGCGUGAGCGGCGCCAAGCGGCCCAAGACUGGGGAUAAACUAGGGAGGGUUGACGACGCACUUCAGAAUUUAGAAAACGCUUUCGCUACUCUGUCCAACCCUAACUUGUCGUUCGGCCAAUGGGUUGGUGCAGAAAUGGAAGGUGUGCCGGAGCAUCGUGUGUUUGCUCUAAAAAUAGAAAUAAUGACCGCUAUCAUGAAGGCCAAGGAGGAGUGAGACAAAGCUCGUGUCAUACAGGGUGGGCCAAAAAAUUGUGUCACUUUUCAGCAAUAACCUCUCGAAAAUGAUAAAAGAUACGAAGAAGAAACUCACAACUUUAAGAAAAUGGUUUAAAAAUUAUACGACAGCCAUUUUAUGGACAAGUUUUAAUCGAACUGAUGUUGCCAUAAUCAUUGUGUCUCUGUGUGUCUUUUAUUCGUGUAUGUGCUCAAAGUGGGAACCUCCACGCUGAAGGCACAUCUGAACGUGCUCCAGGAAGCUGGCGCCCACCCGCUCCGCGGUAUCUGUUGGCACUUCCUGGCAGCUUCCUGGAGCACGUUCAGAUGUGCCUUCAGCGUGGAGGUUCCCACUUUGAGCACAUACACGAAUAAAAGACACAUAUCCUUUUUAAAUGAUGGUGGCAACAUCAGUUCCAUUGGAACUUGUCCAUGAAAUGGGUAUCAUAUAAUUUGUCAAACGAUUUUCUUUAAGUUGUGAAAGUUUCUUCUUCAUAUGUUUUACCACUUUCGAGAAAUUACUGCUGAAAAGUUACACAAUUUUUUGGCCCACCCUGUAUUUCCCUUAUAUCAUGAGAUUUUGACGAUGAAUUAUGAAUUCGAAUGACUUUGUCUGUCUGUUUGGUGUCUGACUUUUUGUCCUUAAAUUAUACUUUGUCCAUCCGUCACCUGUGCUGUGAUUUUUACGACGAUCUUGUGACAUUCAUUGUAGCAUCGUUUUAGGCAUCAUUCGGUGAUUAUUUUUCCUAUGUAACUAUGAGCUUGAUGUCCCUCGUAAAUGCUUUCCGGGGGUUAGUAUUUGUUUUUGACUCGAAAUGCUGGUCGCGGAUUCAUUCCAAGUUGUAUGUCUUUCAUGUUACCAUAUGGCUCUAACUCUCCUACAUGUGUGACCAGUGAUAAUGGUAUUUUGUUUUUGUUCAGAUUUGUCUGUUUGUUUUUAUAUUUGUACUUGAUGCAUAUUGCAUUACGUUGUCAUUUGACGUUUGCCAAUGUCUGUUAGCCCCAGCUGACGUUCCAAUCUUUUACAAUA
rnacentral:misc_RNA from 1 species